rnacentral:lncRNA from 1 species
AGAGAAACCUUUGGAGUCAAGCUUUCCUUCUUUCCUUCUAACUUCGUCUCCAAGUUGACAUUUGUCCAAGGCCUAUUUAAAAAGAAUGUUAAUGAGUGAGCGCAAUACAAAUUGUGAAGAACGAUUGCAAGUUUAAUCUUUUAUACCAACCCACCUCCCAAAUUUGAUCAUCAGUGUAUUCUUCCAGGGGGUCCAUAUUAUUUCUUACUGUUCCUUCAAACAUUGUUGGAUCCUGAGGAAUAAUGCUUAGUCUAGACCUCAAAUCAUGAAGUCCAAUUGAAGAGAUGUUGAUGUUGUCAAUCAUAACUUGCCCAACAGCAGGCUCAACAAUUCGAAAAAGCGUUUGUAUGAGGGUGGAUUUACCACUUCCUGUCAACAAUACCAGUUUUUAGUCCUCCAUGGAAUUUGCACGUAAGACCACACAACACAAGUGGAAGAUGAGGAGCAUACCGAACCUUCGGAAUGGGAACACAUAAUUUUAAACAUAGCACAGAACACCUUGUAUAAAUUACGUUAUGAAGUAUGUUGUCAUGAUUUUCUUGUUUAGAAGCUAACUUGUAACCAUUUAGGAACAGAAAACUUUACAUGCAUAUCAUAAAUCAAAUGGCCUCACAAUAAAAGAAAUCAAAAGAAACCAAGAAUGUAAUAGCUUGAAGUACCUGCAGAUCUUGUAUAUCGAUCUCGCCAUUUGAGGGCCAAGAAGGAUUUGGCUGAUUUUCAUCUAUAACAAGGGGAGGCUCAUUGGGAAUAGAAGUAUACUGAAGUAUUCUCUCUACUGAUCUAAUUUUGCUCUCCAUUUUGCAUAGAUUCCAUAUCAUCCAAGCUUGUAUAUUGUUCAAAUUUAGCCCGUAUGUAACGGCUAAACCAGCAAGGCCUUCAAAGUCACAGUUCAUUCAAAAGGAAAACAAUCAUGUUCAAUUCCACAUUACCUUAGCAGACUAAACUUUGAUUUGUAACAGAUACCAGAUCAGAAUAACGCACCUGGAUCUAUGAAUCCCGGUGGAAUAGAUAUUAUGAAUAUUAAGGAAAAGGCAAAUAUGAUAGAAGACAACAUAUCUAAGCGGAAGCACAACCAUUCCAUGGCACAAGCAAUGUUGAUCUUUGGCCGAGAAUACCCAUCAGUCAGUUUCAUAUUUGUUUCCUGAAAUCUUGAUUGCUGAUCAAAGCUUCUAAUGGUUGAAGUACCAGAAAUUGUUUCAGAAAAGUGUUGUAUGAGUGGGGCUUUGCAGACUCCAACUAAACGUGAUAGUUCUCUGGCUGAUGGAAUAUAAUAUUGCUGCAGAAUUACAAGUUUGUCAGAUCUUAGCCAUACAUCAUAAAAUAUUGUAUAAUGAAGUCAAUAUUUUAAAAUAAAAUUGGUACAUACAGUGCAGGUAAAGCCAUUCCAGACAAGGAUGGAAGUAAUUCAAGAAAUAUAUGCCACCUUAUCAUAAAAGUCUACAUUAUGCGGUCAAAUUAAUACCUGAUAGCAAAUGCAGACUAUAAUCACAGGUAUAAAGACAACUAAAACUUGCCAUGCAGCCUGAGACAUCACUGCUAUAAUUCCCAGAAGUUGGAUCAUAAUGAAGGCAAAUGAUGCAAUUUGAUGAGGAAUAUUUGUAUCCAAUGCAUUUUGAUCCGUUGAAACCUGGAAGAGUAGAGGAGAAAGGACAAGUGACGCAAUAUUAAAUAAUGUGUAGCUGUUGAAAACAAACAACAAAAUAAGGGUACUAUUAAUGUAGAGGGAAAAUGUUAUAUAAGACAGAAACCGUAGCUAUAAAGUCAGAAGAACAAAAAUGAAAAGAAUGAGGUUUACAUACUCUGUUAAGGAUACGCCCACUUGGAGUGGAAUCAAAAAAUGACAUUGGAGCACGGAAAAUGCAAUAGUGCAUUUUACUGAAGAGUAUGGUAGCUGUUUUGUAACUAGUUGUGACAAGAAGCAUUGCUCUGGCAAGGAUGCAUAAAGAACUUCCAAUAGCCAAACUAACAUAGACUACUAUAAGAGUUGUUCCUUCAACAGGUGGAACCACAUCUGCUGAGAUGGGAGUCGCCCAAGCCAUCCAAUAAUUGCUGCCAAUUUGAAGAACUUGAAAAAGAAUCUGAGCUAACAAUAUGAAUGGUACAAGAGCUCCUCCAUAUGCUGUUGUGAUGCAUUUCCAAUACACUGAAAAGCCAACUUUACCUUUCACUCUUUCUUCUUUCGGAACAAACUGAACUUUUGGUUCACUUUUAAUUGUUUUACCAUUUUGCUCAUCUUUACUUGCCUCCUCUUUAGAACCUUGCGUGCCAGAGACAUUUACAUGUUGUUCCAAGGUGCUUAUUUCAUCACAUACUGUUGCUCCAUCCAAAGAAUCUAGCGUAGACAAAGCUUUUUUAUGUGCACCAACAAGUUCCAUAAAAUCAGCUCCAUAAUUAAGCAAAUCAGUAUACUUUCCACAUUGAGUAAUUUUCCCAUCUUUCAUAACCUAACCUCAAAGAUAACAUGACGGAUUUAAAAACAAAGCUAUUUUUUACAUUCGUCGUGGCUAUUAAAUUAUGAGAAACUACUCACCAAUAUAUGGUCAGCAGCAGGUAAGAACUCCACUUGAUGAGUGACAUAAACCACUGUUUUUGAACUUAAAAGGCCCAACAAGCAUUCCUACCAUACAAAAAAUAGAAAAGUUCACUUACAAAAUAAUACAAGAGUUGUGCAGUUAGAAGAGUUAAAUCAAUGAUUAUUUGAAUUCUGCCUUGUGCAUAUAAUUAUGGUAGUUCAGGUUAUAUUGUACAUAAUGAACAAAGUAAUGAAACCAAGUUACCUUGAAGAGGUGAGAGCCUGUGUGAGCAUCCAAAGCACUGAAAGGAUCAUCGAAUAGAUAUUGUACCUGAGUGGAGAGAUGGGGUCAGGCACGGUCGAUUGACGUAGUAGUAUAAUUGCUGACGUAUCGAUCUUCCUCUUCUUCGGUCGUUCCUUCUUGGUGUCUCCUUCGGUCGGGGGAGGAUACCUGUGAAGGCACUCCGACGCUCAAGUAAGUGAGAGAUUCUAAGUGUGAUUUAGUAGGUGGAUGAAAAACGUACCUUUCUUUGACUUGAGCACAGUAUUUAUAGGAUUGCCUAAUGGGCUUUCUGUCCCUUGGGCUCAGGGUGGUUAUGGAUGAGUCUUGCAAGUCAUGCCCCGGAAUACCCGGAGAACAUAUCUUCUCUAAGCGCGUUCUCCUUAUUUUUCGGAGGUGUAUCUUAACCACCUUAGUUUGCCACAUAAAUGCCCUUACAUUUAUUAUGCAUUCGGUCGGUCGGCCACGUGUGUUCGUCCGGUGCCUGCCGGUACAGAUAUAUAUCAGCAUCUUGGUAAAGUGCACGUGCAAUUUGUAUUCUUUGUUUUUGUCCACCACUCAAAUUUAUUCCACGCUCUCCUAUGACUGUCUGAUCACCAAAUGACAAAAUCUCCAGAUCCUUCUUCAGGGAACACGCUUCAAGUACCUUCUCAUACUUUUCCCUAUCCAUUUGUUUGCCAAACAAUAUAUUAUCCUCAAUCUUACCACUUUGUAUCCAUGGAGAUUGAGUAACAUAGGCCCACAAACCUUAAGGAUGCCUGAUAUCUUUGGUACUUCUCCUAAUAAACAAGAAAGGAAUGUAGACUUGCCUGAUCCAACAGUACCACAAACUGCAACCUUCAUCCCAUUGAAAACUUUAAGAUUUAUAUUUUGUAAUGUUGGGUUAGGGGAAGAUAAUUCCCAACAAAAGUUUCCACCAACUACUUCAAUUGCUGUAUCAGAACUUCCCCGGGGAAGCUUCUCUACAACAUCAGAGGGUAAGUCAUCCAGACGAAGGAAUGAUGCAAUCCUAUCAAGAGAUACUUUAGUUUGUGCUAUCAUCGAAAUUGUAUCUGGAAGGUUAUAAAUGGGCUCCUGAAGAAUCCCAAAUGUUGCUAGUGCAGACAAGAUCUUCCCUGAUUCAAGGGGGACCCCUCCAAGCAUACAAGUACCGAAAGUAACCACGGCUACAAAUGUGGGGCCACCCCUAAACAAAAACGAGCUCAUGGCUGCAAUAUAGGCACCUUUUUUCAACCAGCCUUGCUCAGUUUUCCUGAGCUCAGUUAUUUUUUAUAGAAACUUCAUUUCCCAUCCUUGUAGUUUGAGAAUCUUCAUAUUCCUUAAAAUCUCGGCUGUGGCUUUCAUUCUUGUAUCUUUCGACUGCAUCAAUUUCUUUUGAAACUUCUCUUGCAAUGAUCCCAAGGGAACAUUUACCAGCAUAACAACAAUAGUUGCAACAAAAGCAGCAAUUGAAGCCAGCCAAGGUUUUUAUACAAAAUCAAAAAGGCCAAUGUAACUUUCAAGGCCACCAUCCACAAAUCAUGUAUAUACCAACUAAAGGCACCAACUCUUUCAGCAUCAACAGCCAUGAAAUUGAUUAUUUCCCCGUAAGUGUGGCCAUGCUUGGAUUGACAAGAAAGGGUCAGAGCCUUGUUGUAGAUCAUCGUGACAAGCAGUGCACGCAUUCGAAGUCCAACUUGCUGCAACCUAAAGCACCGAUGCAAUUGAGACAGACACUCUGCCAUCUUUGCAAAGAGAAAAGCCGAAAUCAAAACAUAGCCCUGGUUUUCAUAAAGCCGUUGUCCAUCAAGGUACUGAACAAAACCAUCCAUAAGAUAAGGACCAACAUAAGAAGCCAAAGUGUUUAACAGUGCAAGAAAAGCUGUGAAAAGAAUCUCCUUCCACGCUGACAUCACUAACGACUUCACCAACUUAAGUGUGGUGACAUUAUUUAUUAUGCCACAAUCAGCCUCAAGUUUAUCUCUGAACCCAGGAAAAGCUCCAACAACACUGUCUCUGCUGUCUAGUUGAGGAACAUCCUCAAGGUCGAGGGUCUUCUUAUUGCCAACAGCUAUAAGAGGACCCACCCAAGAGAAGGUAAGAAGGCUAAGAAUGCCAGCAUAUGAGAAAGGCGUAACAGUGUCCCCUCCCCUGGUCUCUUUUGAUCUCAAGACAUCAUCCUCAUUUGUGCCACCAUUCAAAAGAGGUUCCUGAAUACCGUUAUUUUCUUUUUCUCGAACGUGGCCUUUGCUUUUCACAAAAUACCCCACGUAACAGAAUAACAAACCAACACAAGUGGAAACUACAUCAGAAACCAAGUACUGUGUUGGCAAAACAACGCGUCUCUCUGAUAUAACAACAAUGUCCACCACGAAGCAAUAGCAAGAAACAGAGAGGUACAAGACGCACCAAGCUCUGAAGAGGAAUGAGAACCUUCUCUCGCCUGAACUGAAGAAGCCCUUGUUCAAGCAAACACAAACAACGCCCCAGGCAACUGUUUUGAGCACCAAAUCCAAAAGGGUCACGAGCUCUUCUUCUGACCAGCCACUAGAGUACCAGUAGAAGUAAUUGAACAAACAGAGGAGAAAACUGAAAGCAGAAACACCCAGAGAACAAAACACGGUCGUUUUAAAGAGGGUGUUGUCGAGCUUCUCCUUAGACUCAUUCCUGACACGUGUCGUGAAUUUCUUCCAAACCCAUGACAAUGAAACCGCGACGAGCAACAGAAGGUGGAGGAAGCCGGAUAAGCCAUGAGGGAAAACGGGUUGGAGGAGAACAUCGUUGGAAAGGUGUAUGUGGGUAAAGGGCAAGAAAAGAGACAACAUCACAGUUAGAAAUUAGAAUGAACGACGAAAUACAAAAUUUGUAUGGGGUGUUUGCUUGGAAGAAAUGGGACAGUGUAAGAUGGUGUAAAAGAUUAAGUAUUUGAGGUCUAUAUAAAGAGUAGGAAAUCGUGCAGAAAGGUGAAGUCAAAAAGGAGAGACAAAGAGAGUCAAAUAAAAAAAAGUUGCUUGGGAAGACGGUAACUUGGUGGGCAAGACUCGUGUUUGGUAGAGAGAAAUAGCAGAAGAGACAAAAGGGUGGAGUUUUCCACGAAAAAGAAUGGAGCUUGGAGAAGAAUCAGCGCGACACACUAUGCAAACAAUGGAAGAGAGAGAGUGUGUGUGACAAUGAUCUUAACAUGCGGGCAAUGCACAAGUUAUAGUUAGAGAAAAUCUCUUGGAAUUAAUUGCUUCCUCUUCUUGUCUCUCACACUUAAUUUUAUCUAUUAAGUAUUUGACUUUAAUUUAAUUAAAAUGUGUCAGGUUUUAGUUUUUUAUUCUGACAUUUAAUAAUAAACUAUACGUACUACUCUUUUUCUACCAACUUAUAUUUUAGGAAUUUUUAUUUUUAUCAUGUCACACGUAAUUUAUCUAUGACUGUUUUUUAUAUUUUAAUAUUAUUUUUUUUAAUUUUUACCCGUUAUUAUUUAUUUUUAUAUUGUAAAUACAAUUAAUUAUGAUACUAUUUUUAGAUUUUUUGGAUUGUUUGUUAAUUUUUCAUACACUUUAAAUUAAAAAAAUUAACAUUAACAACAAAUAUUUUUUUACAUACUCUAUAAAAAUUAUACACAAUAGAAAUGUUAAGAAAAUCAAUGUAUUAACUAUUUAAAUAGAAAAUUUUAAAAAAAUUAAAUUUCCGAAUAAAUAAAUUAAAAUUGAAAUUUUAUUAUGCUGGAAGAACAUUAAAAUUGGUUGUUCCCAUAAAUGGGGAGGAGAACAAAGUACAUUGAAACACAUGUAUAUUCAUUUGUCUUCAUGUCCACCACUUCUUUAUUACAAUGAAUGGUCACUUUCAAGAAAGUGUAAUUUAUUUUCAUUUUUAUUUUUUAGAAAUAUACUUAUUGGUAUUAUUUUAUUAAGUGAUGGAAGAUUUAAACCUAAGGAUGUCACUUUACAUAUAGAAUAAAUAAUGUUAGAAAAUAAAUAAAUCUAAAAUUAUUUAUCAUUUUAAUAUAAACUUACAAAUUUGGAAUUUUUUAAAAAAUAAUAUAAUUUUUAUAUUAAUUAUUAAAAUAAAUAAAAUUUUAUCGAAAUAAAUAAAUCAUAUUAAGAUGACACAAAUUCAAUUAAAAUCAUAUUACUUAAAACAACUUUAAUUCAACUACACUAAAAUUAUAAAUUUUUUCCAAAUAAAAUUAUAAUUUUUUAAAAUUUCACUCAUACAAAUAAUUAAAAUGUAAAAUGUAAUUAACAUAUAAAAUUACAAUUUGAUAAAAAAAAACCUCUAAACAAUUUCUUCAUUCAUUUCACUUUAUAUAAUAUUUAAGACUACGACAUUAAUAUUGUAAUCAGCAUUCUAAAUUUAUAAAACUGUCUAAUAUAUCUUUCAAUUUCAUGAACUAAUUAGUCAUUUACCACAAUCACUUAUACAGAUGAAUGUUGACCAAAUUUUGGAAGCUAAAAUAAUACAUUUAAACAAAGCAUAAUUUAUAAUAUUUAAUAUCUAUGUUAAGUUACUACCACACGUCUAAGGUAGAGUGGGUAAGUUUUUCUCCUAACCACAUAAGAAAACAUAUAAAAAAAAUAGAGACAUUUUUAUUAAUUUAAUGUAAUAUUGUCUGUUAAUUAUUAAAAAAAUUAAAUUAAUUAAAAUAAAAAUUUAUAUCAAAAUGACGUAAUUCUUUAUGAAAAAAUGUGUUAAAAUAAUAUCACUUUAAUAUAUUUAAACUGACGUAAUUUUAAUAUAAUCAAAAUUUAAUUAUUAAUAAUUUUUUAUACCAUUGACAUAUUUGGAUAGGAAUCAAGUAUAUCUUAUUAGGAAUAGAAGUCAGUUUAUCUUGGAAAAGAAAAAAAAUUAGAGGCAGGAGGUUACUGAGUAGAAGAGAGGUGAACUUUUUAGAUGGGAUACAAAGGUUAGAAGGUUGAAAGAGGUAUCUUCUUCUAAAUUCUUCUGCUAUUAUUAGGAUUUUUAUCUUUAAGAUAUGUAUCAACACUAUUGGUAAGUAGAAUCCUAUUUUUCUACCAUUGGGGUUAAGGUUUUGAUUUUCUAUAUCACUGUGUAUAAAUAUUUUCUCAUAAUAAUUUCUUCCUUCACCUGUGUAAACAGACUAGGCAUUAAAACCUUUAUUUUAUGAAAUACUAUAAUCUCAGAAAAAUAUACACAAAUUCCAUGUAAUCCACAAGAUUUUCGCCACUGUCAAGGAACAUUUUUGUUUCUGUAUGCUUCAAUUUGAAUCAGUGAUCAUCAGAUUUCUCAAAAUUGGAGUUGAAACUCAUGGUAUACUCAGCAACAAGUCGAGCAAAAUAUGAUGACUUAUUCUCUAGCAAUUUUGUUGGGGUGUCAUACUCCUCAAUAAGUCCUGCACCAAUGUCUAGCCAAAUUAGAAAAUGAAAGAUGAAGAUGCAAAGAAUAUGAAUGCUAUGUGAAGAAUGAGAGGCUUUCCUAACCUUGACUAAGAAGCAGAACCAUAUCACUGUCAAGAACUGAAGUUAUUCGGUGUGCAAUGGUAAUAACUGUGGAGUCAGUGAAAUGUUGCCUAAGAGUUUGCUGAAUCAAAUUAUCCGUAGCUGUAUCAACUGAUGCAGUGGCUUCAUCAAGAACCAAAACCUUGCUUUUCUUUAGCAGAACCCUCCAAAGGCAGACCAACUGUCUCUGACCCAUACUCCAAUUCUCACCAUUCUCACUGACUGCAACAUCAGCAUGAACAUUAGCAAUAAGUUCAAGAAUAGAUUUAGUACACACUUAUGUUCAACAAAGUUCAAAGAGAAACCUUUGGAAUCAAGCUUUCCUUCUUUCUUUCUAACUUCAUCUCCAAGUUGACAUUUAUCCAAGGCCUAUUUAAAAAGAAUGUUAAUGAGUGAGCGCAAUAUAAAUUGUGAAGAACGACUACAGCAUAAUCUUUUAUACCAACACACCUCCCAAAUUUGAUCAUCAGUGUAUUCUUCCAGGGGGUCCAGAUUAUUUCUUACUGUUCC